rnacentral:rRNA from 1 species
UACGGGGGGGGCAAGCGUUGUUCGGAAUUACUGGGCGUAAAAGGGCUCGUAGGCGGCCAACUAAGUCGGAUGUGAAAUCCCCCAGGCUCAACCUGGGAACUGCAUCCGAUACUGGAUGGCUUGAAUUCGGGAGAGGGAUGCAGAAUUCCAGGUGUAGCGGUGAAAUGCGUAGAUAUCUGGAGGAAUACCGGUGGCGAAGGCGGCAUCCUGGACCGACAUUGACGCUGAGGAGCGAAAAGCCAAGGGAGCAAACGGG